UCUCAGGAAUGGCUCCUUUCUCAGACAGAAUGAGGAUUUGAAGCUCAACAUCCUUCUGCCUGACCCAGGUGUCCUCUACUGCCUUCUGCUCCAGCUAGACUAGGUCCUUAUCUAAGAAGCACCCUGCUCAUGAAUAUGCAAAUCAUGUGAGUCUAUGGAGAUAAAUACAGAGAUGUCCACACCACCACCAACAUAGGAUCGGUGUCCUCUUCAUAGUCACUGAGCACACAGUUCCUCACAAUAGGACGGAGCUGGAUCAUCCUCUUCCUGAUGACAGCACCUACAGAUGUCCACUCCCAGGUCUAGAUGCAGCAGUCUGGAUCUGAGCUGGUGAGGCAUGGGUCCUUUGUUAAGAUGUCCUGCAAGACUUGUUGCUACACCUUAACUAGCAACAGAAGUAUCUUGGUGAAGCAGAGGUCUGGGCAAGGCCUGAAGUGGAUUGGAUGGAUUGGUCCUUGGAAUGGUGGAACUGGCUAUAAUCAGAAGAUACAGGGCAAGGUCAUAUUGACUGCAGUCAGUACAAUCUACAUAGAGCUCAGGAGCCUGACAUCUGAGGACUCUGCAGUCUAUUACUGUGCAAUACACAGUGUUGCAAACACAUUCUGAGUGUGUCAGAAACUCAGGAGAAGAAGGAAGCUGCCUUGGAAUGAGAUGACAGAGGAGACCAGCCUAGGGACUCACUCAGAAUUAUUCAAUCUGUGUGCCCUUUUGUCAUUUCACAGUUUUGCAAAGUCUUCGUCAACUUUUCAAAAGAACUGUUGGGAAAUAAAUUGGUGCUGAUUCAGGAUGCCCCUGCAAAACACCAUACCUUUACCAGAACUUCAUCACGACCACCUCUAUUGUUAUGAUUCUUCUCUAGUGAAUAAAAAAUGGUAUAUUUUGGGGACUCGAUAUCAUAUAUAUUCAUAUACACAAAAUUAUAUAUGACAUAUCAGAAACAUAAGAGACUGGAAAUAUUCAUGGUGUAUCACAGGAAUAAACUAUAAAUCAACAACAUCAUGACAAACAGAAACACCUUUAAAAAUUCAGUUUGAUGUACCUAACAGCACACCAAAUACUUUGGUGGAAGUUGUGUCCAUAUAUUUGUGGGGAGUCACAUUACCUUUUAUAAUAAAUAUAAUUUAUUGUUUUGUUUA